UGUUUGUGUGUGUGUGUGUGUGUGUGUGUGUGUGUGUGUGUGUGUGUGUGGGUGGGGAGGGUGAUACCACAGUGAGACAACUACACUUGGGGCUCUGAAGUGUCAAGAGACAGGAACCAAACACUUAAAAGAAUGGUUUGGAAGCAAGAGUGCAACAUUCGGGAAUAAGGCAAGUUGCAAGUCACAAAAAAAUUAUGACAUUUUUGUAAAUGAAUAUUGCUUUUUAACAUUGUUCACUUAACAAAUAUGGGACUUAAUGUAUACUCGCUGUGUAGGCUAAAUACAGUAAAGGAAGUGGUGACUGUAGUAUGACUUAAAAGAUGUGUAAAAGUAGUACUACACUGUGCCUAACAGAUUUGCAUAAUUAAUGGCCCAACACAAGUUGCAAUUAAAUUAACAAAAAGCUACUAAUAAGUAACUAAGUAUGAGGUACCACCAUUUCAAAAGAGCUGCCUAAAGCCACGUCUAAAAGUACAUAGGCAAGAUAAAAUAACAGAUUUUAUACUGUAUUUGUCCCAAAGUUCUUGCAAUUCAUUUAUUUCUCUAAUAUAAAGGCAAAUACCUCAGUAGAGAAGGCUAGAAAAACAAAUGAACAACACACAAACACUACUUUAUGGGAACACUGAAAGUAGAAUCUGAAGAUAUGAUACUGGCCUGUUUUGUCACAGUCUAACUCAUCAAACCACAUUCUUGAAAUGGCCCUUUCAAUCUGACUUCACCAUAACGGCAUAAAUACAUGUUUAAUCAGAGAUGUGCCAUAUUUGCAGGGCUAAGAGAGGGUAAAUAAAAGUGUUUCUGUUUUGUCACAUGGUACUGCUUGUUUAGAGUUUGUACAUAUUCAUAAUCUGAAGAAAUACAGUAAGGUAUACCAAAUACAGAGCAAUGCUGCACAUCAGAGUGGCAAGCAAGCCUAUUAAACAUAGUUUGUUAUGAUCUUAAUACUGUCUGUAAGGUUUACUAUACACAAGUUCAACUGUUUAUGAAUCAUAAAGACAUUUUAUUACAAGAACUGUGGAAAAAGGAGUAAACAUGAAGAACUUCUGCUUUCAAAAACAGCAAAGCUGAUUUUUUUUAAUUUUCACUUAAUUUCAUGGAAUGUGCCUAAAAGGGUUAGUUAUGCAUCUGACAUCCAUGUUCUUUCUUGCACCUGAGCACAAAAUAAUAUAUCUGAGAUGCAGCUCUAGCUGUAUUCUAUGAAACUAAAU